GGGAAAGUGGAGCAGAGACAGCACGCAGCAUGGGGCUCUGGAAACUUUAAGGCCGGGGACAUUCUUUGGAAGGGUUUUGUGUGCGAUGCAAAGCGAUCCGUUUGAAUUAGGCACAAUUAUCUAACUUAUUAACAAAUCCCACAAUGAGGUGAGGAGAAGCGCAUAAUCAAAAGUCUAGUUUAAGCCCCUAAUUCUGAUCUAGAGUCCGCAUGUCUAACUGUCAGGGUCCCCCGGCCGGCCGUAACGAGCCCCGCCCGCGCUAACGAGGCAGCGACUCCCAGGUGCCGCGGAGCCGCGGCCGGCCGAGCACAGCUGCGCCUCGUCGGCGGGCCGGGGCGGGUCCGCCCCAAUUAAGCUCCUCCGGAGGCCGGGGGAAGCCACGAGAGCUACUGGGAUUCAUUGCGUGCGAGAGCCGGAGCUGCAGUGAGAUAUCUCCCGGUGAAGAUCAGCCCGAACCGGUGAGCCGUUCCGGUAGCAACGUUCGAGGCCGUCCGUCCGCAGCAGGAGGCCGUCGGGCUCUCGCCGCGCUCCGUUCGGGGCCGGUGCGGGGCUCCCGCCGAGCAAACCCGGCUUCUCGGAGCCGGCUGAGCCAAGGCUGCAGCAGAACCUCUUGUCAGCCCGAACCGCUGAAAUGGUGGAAGCGGUGAGUGUUUGAGAUUCACUAGGUAAGUUCUCUCUUCUUGGAGCUCGUGUAGGGCUGCCGCUCAGCUGCUUCUGUUUCUUAAGGAUCAGCGCGGUGCUGCUGCUGGGCUCCCACUUAGCCAUUUAAGAAGGGCCGGUGCCCGAGAAGGGAUUUGUGGGUGCUUCAGUCUCUUCCGCUUCCAGCAAUGGGAGUGAGCGGGAUGGGACCAUGCGUUUUUCCCCCUUUCCUUACUUGUAAUUUCAGGAGGGUGAUCUCAUUUCUAUCAUGGAGAUGUGGAGGGACAGCUUGCACGACUGGAAUGCUGUUGUGGGUGGCUGUGUUAUUUAUAGGAGAAAUGGACCGGUGAAAGAACUGGAACAUACUGAACUCUGCCAAGGGAUGAAUGAAGAACUAGAGGAGCUCUGGCGUGUGAGGCUCAAGAGGCAGUAAAUGUGGGUAAUGUCUCGGGGUGUAUUGGUUGCAUACCAGAAUGAGGAAGUUGAGAAGUCCUCCUGCACACAGUUGAAAGUAACCUCACGGCUGUGGGCGAGAGUUCUUGAACCACCCUGUCAGUUGUUAGGAAAGCAAUGCUGCUAGGCAUACCUCGUUCCAGGAGGUUCCUGCAGUGUGUCAAAGAAAGUUUCUGAUGCAGGCAAUGGAGGAGUCAAUGAGGAGAGGGGCACUGCCAGAGCUUGUUCUCUAUAUUGAGUAAUGACCAGCUGGGGAUGUGAAGACAGGGUAUGGCCUUGAGAUAACAUGUGGAAGAUGUGGAGCAAUAUGUAAGAUUGAAACAAUGGACUUUGAGGGAGACAACUUUGUCAUCUUGAAGGACCACCUUGGGUUAGAUCAUCAGAGGUUCCUUAUGCUCAUGCAUGAAUUCCUCUGUGCUCAGGAGGGGUGCAUCCCAAAGAGUAAGAAAUAGAGCAGAAAUGGCAGGAGAUCUGGAUUGGUGAAUGAGGAGCUUGUGGAUAAACUCAAAGGGGAAAAGGAAGGCUAAGGCCCAUGUAGUAUCACCUCUGGGGAGG
ensembl:lncRNA